rnacentral:rRNA from 1 species
AACGAACGCUGGCGGCAUGCCUAACACAUGCAAGUCGAACGAGACCUUCGGGUCUAGUGGCGCACGGGUGCGUAACGCGUGGGAAUCUGCCCUUGGGUUCGGAAUAGCAGUUGGAAACGACUGCUAAUACCGGAUGAUGACGUAAGUCCAAAGAUUUAUCGCCCAAGGAUGAGCCCGCGUAGGAUUAGCUAGUUGGUGAGGUAAAGGCUCACCAAGGCGACGAUCCUUAGCUGGUCUGAGAGGAUGAUCAGCCACACUGGGACUGAGACACGGCCCAGACUCCUACGGGAGGCAGCAGUGGGGAAUAUUGGACAAUGGGCGAAAGCCUGAUCCAGCAAUGCCGCGUGAGUGAUGAAGGCCUUAGGGUUGUAAAGCUCUUUUACCCGGGAUGAUAAUGACAGUACCGGGAGAAUAAGCUCCGGCUAACUCCGUG